UCCCUCGUGGCGCAAUUGGCUAGCGCGUAGGCAUCUCUAUAUAUCUUCAGUAGAAAUCAAUUCUAACAAGUAUCCAGGUUCGACUGUUAAGCAGCAGUUCAUCGAGAGGUUGGUGGUUCGAGCCCACCCGAGGGAG